GUACAAAUCUACACCUAAACGGCGCUGCGAUGAUGGUUUUAAAUUUUGCCAUGUGAGCUUAUGGAAGUAGUGAAAACUAUAAACAUGUUGACAAUGGUUGAAUUAAAGAAGGAAAUUCGAGAGCACAAUCAAACACAAGUAGAAAAAUGCACGAUUCCUGCAUGUUACAUGAGCAUCAUUUUCUUAGUUCAAAAACAAAAUCCAGAUGCCUCACCGAUCGUUUACGUUUUGCGUUAGAUCGCCAAAAAGGCACUCUAGGGCAAAUCAGCUCAUCAUGGUGAGCGGCUCAGAGCCGUUCAGCUCAUACAAGUGAGCUGCUCAUUUAGAACAGCUCUCCAGCUCAGUUGAAUUUUGCGGUUGUCCACACAA